UUGGUGCCUGCCUCCUCUUCAUGUGUGUGCAUAGGAGCAGCCAACAAAGUCUUUGUCCUUUGUUUCAUGUGGCUCAUUUGGUUUCACUGGGCUUUUUUGUGUACAGGACCAAAACCUUACACUAAUUAGUGCUUCUUUCUUGUUUGAUUAUGAGUUGACAAAAUGCCCUUUCAAAACAAAUGCAAUCUCCCUCUGAAAGGCACAGAUGGUGUUGUUCAUUUGGAGUUUUGCUGAGACAACCUUCAGUCUUCCCUCCUGUCAUACCAUUACAGCACAAAAACAAAAAAAAACAAAAAAAACAAAAACAACUUGAAGUCGAAUGAUUAUUUCAAAUGGAGGACAAGGACUGUCCAUUUUUUUUUUUUGAAGGGAAGAUGCUGGAAGGAGCCAUGCUGAAUAGUUAAUAUCCCAGUGAAUCCACCAGGACUUAAAGUGACUCAAUGUGUCAGGGAACAUGUCAAACUGCCAUCAAAACAAUAGACCUUGGUGGAAUUUAUAUCACUCCUUUUCUACCUUUGUAAGGAUGCCUCAUAAAGUUAGAAAUAGUAAGAAUGGAAAAAAAUUAAAAUAAUACACAGACUUCUAAAAAUGUAGGUAUAAAGCCUUUACAGCACUCUUCGGUCUCCUCCAGGACUCUUUGAAAUGCUUCUUUUUUAAAAAAAAUUAGUUUUGCCUGAAAAUCUGUAUCCAAUUUGAAUGAAAUUGAAUAUGUUUCAGAGCUCAAGCAGCAUGUCUUCCAUCUGAAACAAAAUGGAGAUGAAUUUCAAUUAGAUGUUCCCAUUAUAAUCUGUCUCCACCUGUAGUUUUCAUCAAAAUUGCUAGUAAGUGUGAUAUAAUGUAUGAUCAGGAUUUGCCCAUUGGCAGUAGUGUGCCUAUUAUCUUAGUAGAAAAGCACACAAUAAUUAGUCUGAUGCAUAUAGAUAGCAGCUUCUCACAGUGAAUGACUUCAAUUAUGAUGAGUAAUCUAUAUGGAGUUUGACACUUAUGUGUUCUCUCCUCUCUACCCCCCCCCCCAAAAAGAAGACACUAAUUAUUAAUUCAGUUGACAAAGAAACAAUGUUUCAAAAGAUUUAAUGUGAACUGAACAUAAUAGUCAAUGGCCACUGUGCAAUGUCCAUCUUAUGGUUUUAUUUUUGCCUAAGAUUGAUUAAUGGAAAUUCAUUUGUGCGAAUACACAUAAGCUUCAUUCUAGUGCUUUAGCAUUAACUCGUCAACAUUUUGCAAAUCAUGGCUAGACCUCCAGCCCAUCAGCAGUUUCUGUCCUCCAAUACUCUGAAGCCCUUUUGUCUUCCCAUAGCUGUCAUCGUGCUGUGAGCUUGGAAUUUUGUGAAAUUGCCUCAUGGCACAUUCCAUUUCCACAGUUUUGUAGGGGCUGAUAUCUGCUCAGUAGAGAGGAUAAAAUAAUUUAAGUUUGUACCCUCUCUUUUCACCCUGAAACUGACAAAAA